CAGUACAACUUCCGAGACACACAACCCCUUCAAAUUCUACACCUCUCAACCGCUUCGCCAUCCCUCGACCCGAGUCCACAAACUUCUACCCGGAUCUACCCGGGCGGGAGGGCAAACACAAAACUUCUACCUCUACCCGGAUCUACCCGGGAAGGGGGGCAAACACAAACCUCUACCCCUACCCGGAUAUACCCGGGCAGGGGGGCAAACACAAAACCCCGAACCUACCCGGAUCCACUCAGCCGGAGGAGCAAAAGCAAAAACUCCACCUUACUCCCUCACAUAGAGAAUCUAUGUAAGAGAGUGGGGGGCAAAUGAUAUGGGGUAACCCGGGUUGUCCAUACUCGGGCCCGCACAAGGACCAUGGUCCCCGAAAGGCACAACAUCACGAUCCUACCAGGAUACACCACCCGGGAGGGGUAUUGGACCAGGGUAUGACUUAACCAUACCUCUCGACCGGGGCCCAUACAUGUACCAGCCGACACUUGCUGCACAAGGCACAGACUGACACGAUAAAGACAAACAUAACGGUCAACUACUGGCGAUAGAGACAAGCCAGGGAACAUUCCAAAAUACUACUCCCACGCUGACACCUGGACACGUGUAGGGGAUCAAACCCCUACACGUGUAGGACCAGGAUCCAGGUACGCACCCUUGAACCCUAAUCCUUGGCCUAUAAAUAGACCAAGGAUCAAGAGUCCAAGGGUAACUUCACUCUCUACACUCAUUUCUCUGCACACACUUAAGCACUCACCAUACAUAUAAACACAAAAGCCACCAGCCACCAUGCAACCACCAUACACCACCUUCACCCACCACAUAUAGAUAACAUACUUUCUCUAAUCUUUAUCCUUCCGAAACCUACGCUUACUCUCACGCCGGAGGCACCGCGGGGACAAAACCCCCCUCCGGUGUUGUUUUGUAGGCUCCCAUCCAGCAGCUACACCGCGGAACCACCAGUCACGACGGAGGAAGGACCGGGAUCGGAGAUUGGCGUUAUCAGGGCUCUUCAAGAAAGCCGAGGAGCUUUCUAUUCUUUGUGACGUUGAUGUUGCCAUCAUCAUCCUCUCUACGAGCAAGCUCGUUCAGUACUCCAGCUAGGGGUGAUCAAAAAACCGCCCAACCCGCAUAAACCGCCCGCACCGCACCAAACCGCACCACAAAACGCGGUUUUUAAUUUUCGUGGUGCGGUUGCGGUUUGAUUUUUUCACAAACCGCGCGGUGUGGUGCGGGUUGCGGUUUGACAUAUUGCUAGUGCGGUUUAAACCGCACCGCACCGCACCAUGGUAUUAUAAUAUAUAUAUUAAUAUAUUAGUGAUUGUCAAAUAAAAUAAAAUUAUAUAUAUAUAUAUGUUUUUUAUAAUUAUGUCAAAUAAAAUUAUAUUAUGUUAAAUUAUAUUAUAUAUUUUAUAUCUUGUUAAACAAUAGCUAAUUAUUAUUUUAUCAAUCUCGCAUUACCAUUAUAUUACCAUUAUACCAAAUUUGUAUGAUAUGAUUAUAUUAUUAUAAUAUGUUUCUUAGUACUCAUAUUUAUUAUUAUAUUUACACUUUUAUGUGCAUUAUUUUUGUAGUUGUAGUUCUGAAAUGAUAAAUAUCAUAUAAAUUCAUUACAAGAAAAAAUUUUAGUUAUUUUAUAUUUAAAUUUUAUUACUAACUUCAACUAAAAAUAUUUAUUCUUAAACAUACACAAACCGCACAAAUCGCACCGCACCACACCGCAUUUUUGUGGUGCGGUUUACGUGGUUUUUAUCCUAGCGCGGUGCGGUUGCGGUUUAAGUUUUCAAGCAAACCGCAUACGCGGUUUGGUUUGCGGUUUUGAUGAAAAACCGCACCGCCCGCACCGCGAUCACCCCUAACUCCAGCUGCAGGUUCUCUCUAUACAAAUAUUCUAAACAAAUUUAAGUUGUUGCUGAGUAUAGAUAUCUCUUUUGCUAUUGUAAAAUAUCAUGUACAUUAUUCAAGUUGUUGCUGAGUAUAGAUAUCUCUUUCGCUGCUAGCUAGUACAAUAAAAGUGAGCCAGAGUUUCGUAAAGGUCCAGGAGGUCUUGACCGGACAGGUAGUCUCUGGCUAGACAUGGAUGGAUAGCACAUUAUCUGAAUCAUACUCAGAGAUAGAUUUUAAUAUACAUGGACGUCAUGAAAGUGCUGUAAUAUGAAAGUUUCUGUAUGAAUCGCGAUUAUAGAAUUUCCUAAUGGUAUAGGACCCUUAACACAAUCUUAGAGAAUUAGAACACUGUGAUGCAGCCAGCAGAGAAAUUAAAGCAGAGAAAUAAUGAUAUCUUAGCACUUGCCAGAUAUUAUUAAAACAGGGAGAUGAGAGGAGAAGAUCUCCGAGGUAUGAAUAUAGAAGAGUUAGAGCAGCUAGAGAAGUCUUUUGAAGACGGAUUAAGACGCCUCAUAAAGAAUAUAGCAAGGAUCGUUUUUUGCCAUAAACAUAAAUACCUCAUUGUGGAACUACACUAAUAGCUUCUCUCUUUUUUCAAGAACAAACUGAUAAUACCUCUGAUUCUAACUUCCCUUAGGCUGAAAAGAUUAUGACAUCGAUCGAGUCUCUGCAACAACAGGUUAGCAUAAAACAUUUCUGGUGAAGAGAACACAUAUUAAGUUACAGUUGAGAGAAAAUUUUGCAUCCCGUUUGUACCGCUUUUCAUGAUACUUUUUAAAUGUAUGCAGGGAAUGCAACUAAGGGAGUAAAAAAAUAGACCAAGACAUCAUGUAAAAGUUCUCUUUAUCCCUGUCUACACAAUUCCCCUCUCCUUUAUGUAUCUACUUUCUGGUCAUGCAUAAUGUUUAGUUAUGCUUGCACUUGUGCUUAUGAAAAAAAAGGUGCUGGGGAUCACUGGAGGUGGAAAGUUAAUCUCAGCUGAUUCGGAAAGUGACGGUCCAUCCUCCGUGUCUGCAAGCAGCUCUACUCGCCCUCGGGUUAAACUACUGAGCUGAGUGCAGCUCAUUGGGUUUACAAAUUUGUGAAGCAUGACCAGGUAUAUUUGGUGGAGCUGCUGGACUGUCAUGCCACUCUGCUCACACUAUAAAUUAUGCAUGGGUUUAAUUUGUAGACAUUUUAAUCUGAUCAGAGCACGUUUGUCCUGGCUUUAAACCGGGACUUGAAGCUGUAUCCAAUUUUAAAUUGAAAAAUGUUUGUUCA